ACAUAGCCCCGAUAGGAACGGCAUCCUUUUUUGUAUUUCUGAAAAUUUUCUAUUGAGGACAAAACGUCGUAAACAAAAAAGAUAUAGUGGAUAGCGGAUUGGGAA
rfam:Epilithonimonas sp. 36-9 SCNpilot_cont_300_bf_scaffold_379, whole genome shotgun sequence.